rnacentral:piRNA from 1 species
UNGCCCUGAUAUUGUAGUAUUCGUAGGCU